rnacentral:lncRNA from 10 species
GGAAAAGUGACAGUGGUAGCUUUUGUGAAGUCUUAGGGAUAAAUGUAAAUACCUACUUCAAUUCAGGUAACAGUCCAAAAAAGCACCAAUUGGGGCAAAACAGCAAUUCAUGUGAAAAAGAAAAGAGUUCUGACACUAAGCCCAACCUGAGUAACACAGAUGUCUGCCAAAAAAACAAACAAACAAAAAACAAAAAAAAGCUAAUGUGGUUUUAGCCAACGUUAAGAGAAUUGUGCUAUCUUUAGAAAUCAACCAAAUAUUUACGGAACUUUUACUGGCAUUGUUCUAAGCACCAACAGAAAAGUGGGGAAUAGAGAAGAAUCAGGCAUAAUCCUUGCUUUUAAGGUACUAUUUAGUCAUAGGAAGAUUAGCAAUUACAAAACAACGUAAUAAAAGACACAAUUUGACAGUCUCAACUAUCAAGGCAAUGAGCCUUCAGAAUUCCCAAAGCCCAACCCCCACCACCAAAAAAAAAAAAAAAAAAAAAAAAAAAAACCAGAGGGGGUUCAUUAUACUCCACAGGUGUAGCCCAUUAACUGAUGUUUGGAAUCAUGGCCUUAAGUCAUUAAUAAUCUGC